AUGGCGACCGGCGCACGGUGAGUAACGCGUAUCCAACCUGCCCUUUACUAUGGGACAGCCCGUCGAAAGGCGGAUUAAUACCGUAUGUUGUCAUGUUGAUGCAUAUUUUCAUGACCAAAGGCUUCGGCCGGUAAAGGAUGGGGAUGCGUCUGAUUAGCUUGCCGGCGGGGUAACGGCCCACCGGGGCGACGAUCAGUAGGGGUUCUGAGAGGAAGGUCCCCCACAUUGGAACUGAGACACGGUCCAAACUCCUACGGAAGGCAGCAG
rnacentral:rRNA from 1 species